UCAAUACAAUAAAAGCCCCACAAGAAGAUCUGGAAACCUCAGAUCCUCUAGAAAUAAGACCAGUAAUUACCUCAAAAACCAAGACAGUUCAGGAUAGACCAGUUCGGGUUGCCUCCUGCCCACACCACAUUGUGUGCAUACAUGGCUGCUGAAGUAAUGGAGGUGUUAGCAGGCAUUCUUUAUUCUCAGCUCCAGAUGCAUGAGGAGAUCCUUCCACCUCAUCAUGUAUACAAAAGACCUUCAGCUAACCUAACACAACUUGUGUUACAUAUGCAAAGACUUUCCUGGGCAGUACAUAUGUAUUCAGUACUUCCCCUAACACCAUUAACAUUGGCUUCCGCCUCCUUGCACAGCUCCGUCUCUUUGUGGCAGUGGUCCUGAGACCCUCUGGAUGAAGUCAGUGGUCUUCCUCACUGCGACCAUUGCUUGGACCCAGUCUUCACUCAUGCUCAGUCAGCUCUGUGCCUUGAUAGCCAGACUCACUUCCACAGAGUUGGCUGACUCCUUAUCCGCCUGGUAUCCAGGGGCCAGUACAUCAUCCAUUCACUAAAUUAACGUAUUGGUCCUUAGGCUUAUAUAUCCAUCCCAAUUGGUAAUCCAACCUGUUUCACUAUCUGUCGCAGGACUCCUCCUGCUUUCUAAGCAAACUACAGGGCUGCCCAUCCACUGCUUAGCAGUAUCACUGCAUCUUGUAUCAAUGCCUAGAGGACGAGGGAUUUGGGCCUGGAGAGAUGUACUGAGAACCGCCAUUCCCCGGAUGUGGAUCCUGUAAAAGGUCGCUUUGGCAUAAGUCUCGCCAACAGCGCUUGCGCUGCACCAAGCGUUUUUUCCACAGACAAGCUCCGUCCGUCUGCGAUGCAAACGCACCGCCUGUACCAGCAGCGUUCCCGCAUCCAAUAUGGCUCCUCAAUGGCUUCACUCACUCUUCAGCGCCGCCCUCCAGCCCGGCAGCACACCUCCCCACUAGUCCGGACUUGCCGUGCCCUUUCUCAAAAUGGCGGCUGCCGGCUUCCCCCACGGCUGUCCGGCGAGGGCUGAGACGCCUUUCCCUCGAGUAAAAUGGCGGCGAGGAGGGCUCGCGCCCCGCCCCUCCCAGGUGACGGCCAGGUCGCGCGGUCACGUGGCGGGAUGUGAGGGGUCGGAGCGGUGCCCAUCUUAUGUCUGCCCUUCGUGGCUCUGCCGUGCGCUCGGUUCCCGCUCGGCUCCACAUGGUGUCCGCGGCCGGUGGGCUGGAAUCGGCGGGGCCGGUGGGCGCAGGGCUCCUCGGAGCUGCGGUGGCAUCGAGCUCCCGGGGCUGCUGCUGGGGCGGGGAAGCCCGUUGUGGGGGCUGGAGGUAUUGCGGGCUGCAGCCCUGCUCUGGGGGCGUCUCUCCCCGCCUGAGAUCCCCUUUGGACGUGAUGGCUGUGCCCUGCUGCUCCGCGCUCUGCUUCCGUGCGCAGCUUGUGACCGUCGUGUGUUGGGAUGCCCGUGCCAAAUUUUGAUGCCUCUUUCUACAUUCUCCAAGUAGAGGUUGUAGGUGAUGGAUAACCAACAGAUGGCACCAGGCCCUCCCAUAUGCUCUAUGAAAAUAAUGGGAAUGAAUUCCAAGGCUGUGAGUGGUGGCUGAUGAGAGAAGCUAAAUAGAAGAACCUCGAAAUUAAACUGAUUGGUAAACUAAUCCAAGCCUUUGGAUUUAUAUGCUUUUUCUUUUUCUGAUAUGUCUGACUCUUAGUUAUUUUGAUGGACCAGUGUUUUUAUGUUGCACUGCACGAGGUACAGAAUCUCUAGGAUUUGGUGCGCUUACAUUGAUGCUUCUCUCAAACAGACUGGUUUUGCUUUUCUGUUGGUACAUUAUGUUCUGGACAGUGAUUUUCUACUGAUUUGCUUGUGUCAAGUGACAUUAAUGCUUAGACUUAAUCACAGUGGUGAAUAUAAAUGAUUUAUUGUGAGGGCUGCAUUUCUGAAUAAUAAAGAGUUCACUGUCCACAGUAAAGCUUCUGAAGUUAUGGUUCCCAUCCUGUUAAGAAAGUCUGACCUUUCUGCUGUAAUAUGGGAAGGUAUAUACAAUGUACACCUAUUCUGGAGUGUUUCCCUUUGUGUUGCUGACUAUUUUUUGUCAGUGUCAGUCUUGCACUCUGGGGAGACGUGGAUGCUUGAGAAAUUGAACUUGGAGAGGGGGUGGGGUGGGAGGUGUGUACUUGACAGGAGUUUUUGCUUUGCUAUGCUUUUAGAGUAGAAUGUAAGUUCUAUGUAUGAAAUAUUUAAAUAAUGUCUUGUUUCUGUGUUAUUGACAUUCCCUAUGACCAUGUCUUGAAGUGAAAUAAUGGAGAAAAACAUUGUCUAACAAGCUGUAGAGCCAGUGUUAAUAAUAUGUACUGUGUAACAAGGCUAACCGUUGUAGAGAGCUCUCACAGCAUGAAUGUUCUUUUCAGCAAGGCUACAGGCAGCAGGCUUAAGAAUGAGAUAAACAAGUGUCUGCCUUGAAUUUUCAUACAGAAUUUUUCCCUGGACGGCUGAUGAAGUCAGAACAAUUUUCAUUGGCAAACUAAAACUGUGGAGUUCAGUAAUGACUGUGAAAUAUUUAUUUACGUGUAUAUGUGAUUACGUUUUGUUUCAACACAUACUGAUUUCUUGAAAUGUUUUUUUAAUUUUUGCUUAGUAGAUAUGGAGUGAAAGGACAUUUCACAGGAAAUGGAUCAAGAUAUGUCUCUAUUUUUUUUUCUCAGAAGUGAAAGUUUCUUUGUUAUCACCUGUGAUUUGCUUGUCUGAUUUUUCUCUAGAACAGAGACCUUAAUCCUGUGAGUACUGGUCUAGUGCUUGAUGACUCUACCCAUUGCAGAGGUUUGAAGUGAGAUGAUCUUCGAGGUCCUUUUCAAUCCAGGCUGUUCUGAUUCACUUACUGACCUCUUGUGGUAGUCGCAGGUGGUGAGUGCUGCAGAUGGGGCAGUGGCAGUCGAAGACAGCGUGGUGGUGGCAGCAGGAGCUGGUGAGGGUGCUGUUCCCACUGAACAGGAGGCUGCUGCUGAAGAUGACAAACCUCAGGGAGAAGGAAAGAAAAGGUCAGCAGCAUCCCUUCAGUAAUAAUAGAGCCAGUAUUGAACAAUGAAGGGGAAGGAGAAGAACAUGAUGUCAUUGUGAAUGAGUCCAAAGAUGCUGCAGCAGAGAUGGGCACUCAGGGCACUGACAGUGAAACUUCCCAAGUUGGAAGUGAGCAGAAACCAACUGAAGAAAUCCAGACUGCACCUUCUCAAGAUCAGCUUGCAUCAGCAGGAGACACAGCUUCUGACAUGCCACCGGGCUUUCUCUUUAAGAUUGAAGUUCUGCAUGAUUUUUGGCAGCAAAAAAUGAUGAGCUUAAUUUAAAAUGAGGGGAUAUUGUACUAGUAAUUCCUUCUGAGACCACAGCUGAUAGGUAAUAACAUGAUUAUUUCUUUUGUUAAUGUUUCCCUUUGUCUCAGUUUUCUUCUCAGUGUUUAUAGUUAAUUUGAAAUGUUGAUUCAAAACGUCUUUACUGUUAGAAAACACCAACAUUCUUAAUUUGUCCUUUUACUUGGUUUAAUUUGUGACCAAACAGCACAGUUAACUAAGCUAAAGUCCCAUGUAUAUACUACCAACAGGAUCCAACUUCAGUACAUUUUUCUAGGGCACUUUUAUGUUACUCUGUAUUGGAUUUUAUACAGGCUUACAUAGGUACAUAGGCUUAAUACAGAAGAUGGCUUACAAAUUGUGCAUCCUGUUGCUAUCAUUUUGUUGUAUCAUUGAGUCAGAACUGAUUGUAUGUUUUCCACAUGUUCAGAGUUUUACAUGGAGAUCUGGAGAAAUAUACUUUCACCCAGAGAGAGCACUGAGACUACACACAAACAGUUCUGUCCUACAGCUAAAUCGCACAGAGGUAUUCCUACAUGUUCUGUGUGCCUCUGGGAACUUGAGCCUCACACAGCUGUGCUGUUGAACUGCACCAGCAAUCACUUUGUCUUUGAUGCAAGAACCCAACAGUUCAAUGUCAUUUAAGAUAUUUAAUUUUGUUUUAACAGUGUGUUUCAGGUUAAUUUUUAAACAAUUUAAUUCCACAUGUUAUAUUGAAUUGCAGUCAAGAGAAUUAAAUUUUUGACUACUUCUUUAGGAGAAGACCAUCUUGCACAAUUAGUACGAGCCACUUUGUGGCUGUAGUGGCAGAAAGUGUUGAUGAAAAGUAUACCACUGAACUAGGGGCUGGGAGAUUGGCGUCUGGAUCCUGCACAGUGAGAUAGCCAGAUGCUCUGCUCUGAAUGAAGAACAUUUCUUAAAAUAUGCCCAAAUACUGUCUAGUGCAUAUUUGGAGAGCCAGAUGCUGUUCAUUAUCUAAGCUGAACUCUUUCUUAAUACAAGAGACGAGUAACUGUUUUGGUUUUUGAUUCUUUUUUAUUAUUAUUUCUGAAUAAAAGGUUAUUUUUAUUUUCCUUUUCACUAAGACACUUCAUUAUUUUUUUAGGGACAGAUUCUCUUAUACUUACUCAAACUGUGCUGUGUCAUACCUCUUGGGCUGUUCAACUGAUUUUAUUGUCAGUAUUUGCAGAAUAUUACUCUAAGGAUAUAAAAAUAGGUUGUCUUCAGUUAUUUUUUCUUACAAUGUUUUGUAUUAAGUAUGUACAACCUUCACUUGGGAAUCCAUUAAUUAUUUUUUCUUGUGGGGUGCAUCCAAAUCCCAUUAACAUUAAUUGGAGUAAAUUGUGUGCAGUGAUGGAGAAAAUAAAUCUUCAUGUAUUCAUGUUUCUGAGAUCAUUCUGCUCAUAUCUUUAUUACUCAGUGCAUAUUUGCCCUUCAUGUUUAACAUCACCCUAAAACUUAAUUUUUCUCUUUUACUGGAUACUUUGUUGAUUUAUAGAGAGUAUUUUAUCUUGGUUCUUUUUUCUCCUGCAAAAUUGAUCUAAAAUCAUCAUUCUGAUAUAGCUAAUGCUGUGUCAUGUUUUGUGAUUUUUGCUUUUCAGUAUUCCACAUCAUAACAUCAUGUAGGGCACUGGGAGUUUAACUGUUAAUGCUCAAGUUUUGGGUACCUGCCCAGGAGAGAAGAACUACGUUCCCCAGGGACUUUGUGGUCACAGAGAGUCUCGAGAUAGAACUCCUGGCAAGGUCACGUGAUGCGCUCUUCUUUGUCUGCUCUUCGUCGGCUCUCCGCCCGUCUCCCCACUGCUCAGCCGGACUGCGCAUCUCACCUCAGUGUUGUGGAGGCUGGCUGGUUGACAAGCAUUAAGGAAUCUGAGUGGUUUCAGUACAGAGAUGCAAAUAGUUAUAAAGGACUUUUUCCAGAGAACUUCACACGCCAUCUGGAAUAGUUCUUCUCUCAGGCACACGAAUGUGGUAUGAAGCUAAAUCAGUAGGUUUUUAACCUCUUUGAAACACAGGAGCCCACUUUUUUGUAGUUCAGGCUGUUAAUGGUUUACAGAUCGGUGCCAGACAAAGCUUGCUGAAGCAUAUCAAAAUGAGCAUGAGUGCAAACAGUUAAGCUAGCAAUUUCUGAAGCAGUGAGUGAAAAAAAAAAUCAAGUAAAAACAGAGAUGUCCUUAUUUGUUCACAUGUACGUGGCAACAGGUUUGUUUGUGCUUUGUCAGAGCUAUGGUGAUCUUGUAUUUGGUCCUUUCCCAUGAAAUUCAAAAUUAGCCUCCUUGAUAGCAAAAUCUUAACUUCUCUGCACUAUGUAUAUUGUAUUGAGUUGCACUGCAGAAAAUUUAAUUAGUAAUCCUGUAGUAAUGAGGUCAAACCAUUAUAAGUUUCAUGUGUUUAAAAAAUAUAAUUAACUGCUGCAACAUAUUUCAGUGUUACUUUUGGACAUGCAUAAUAUAUUUACACAGUAACUUGAAUGUGUAUAUACAUAAGUGCAUAUGGGUAUAUAUGCAUUGAAACAAUAUCAUUGUAGUUCUUUGACUGUGUAGCGUCAUCAGUACAUGCAUUGCUCUCUCACUGUCUGGCAUUACAGGAAACAGUUUUUUUCCAAAGCAAAACUAGCUGCUCCAUUGCCAAAAUACUGAACAGUAUCCAUGUUAGUAACGUGAAAUUUUCAUUCUGAGAUGAUGAAUAACACCAUUUUCAAAGCAGCUAAACCUUUGAGAAGGCAUGGCUCACUUUCCUCUUCCAGCUGCAGUAGUUACAGUGAGAUAAUCUGGAAGGGGAACUGUAUUGAUGCUAAUCUAUACUUUUUUAUUUAAUUGGAUGAAUAAUAAUAAAAAAAAAAAAAAAAAAAAAGAAUCUCUGAGAAAUAAACAUAUUUUCACAAUAAGUAUUUAUGCAGCAAACCUUCACAAAUCCUUUUAAAUUAAGAUAUAUAAUGUAUCCUGUAUCAAAAAGUCAUCUGUAACUUACAUUUUCCCGUGCUGUGUCAUUAAAAAUGUGUUCUACUGGGGAAUCUAAUUUUAAUUUAAUACCUCUUUUUCCAAAGAAACACAGCGCAACUGGUGCACCAUCUAAACUCUUGCUUUCAACCUCAAGAUUCCAACAGGUCUGAUUCCCAGCUCAGCACAUCUCCUGGCUGCUCCUCCUGGAAAUGGGCUCUGGGCACCAGCAGCAACAAGGGAACUUGUCCGUGCCCAACUGUCACUCAGACUUCUACCUCUUAUUUGUUUCUUGCUCAUCCAUUUAUCUUGUGUGAAAAGAAAACUCUCCGUCAGUCUACUCUGUUCUAUUUGCUGAUGCACGGAAGAUACAAACAUUUAGGAACACCCACAUUUUCCUAGCAGUUCAGUUAUUUUUUGUGAUAUUUUGGUUGUGAGCUUUUUUUGUAUGUGUAUAAAUUCUUUCUACUCUAAUUUGUCAGACUUCAGUUGAAGAAAUAGAAUUGUAUUGUUCCUCUGAAAGAGAAGGGAAGUUGCUUUCUUGGUAUCUACUGAAUUCAGUAGCUUUCAAAAGGAGCUUUGAUGGUAACUGUAUUUUGUGGAAAAGUGGAGUGGCUCGACUGUGGUAGCUGGGAUUUUGGCUUUAAAAUGUUACAGUGAGCAACUGGAGUCUUGGGAUGUUGUGGAAAGCUCUUUGGUUUUCUUAUCAAACCUUUAACAAUCUUGGAAAUCAAUAGUGAUCCAGCACCAAGAAUUUCUCCAGGGGAACAACUUUUCAUUUUUGAUGUUACAGUAAAUUCCGGACUCUGGUGCAUCAGGUUGUCAUAAUGAUGUUAAACCUCAUGUAUGGUGCAACUCUGAUAACCUCCAGGCCACAGUUUCCUGCCUACCUAGAUCUCAAAAUUUGCUUUUCAGCAAUAGCUGUUCUACAGACCACUGCAGAUGACCCACAAUGGCGCUUCCAUUUCCCUGUGCAAUCUGCAUGGUCACUUCUCAGACAAUCAAGUGGGAACAUCAUUACAGCCAUAUUGCUAAAGAAGCAAAGCAUGGUGUGAAAUCCCCAAGGAAUCUCUUUACCCAGUGAUGUCUGUGUGCAGUUAUCUUUGUUAUCUCUUCUUGCUAGAAGUAUCCAAGUCAAAUUUAACACUCUUGACCUUGAUACUCCUAAAACCUAGGCAUAGGUGUAUGUGUCAAAUUCCCUGAUAGGAGAUUUGAGGUAUGCAUGAGAUUGUACUUGGAUAGGAAAGGUGCCUAAUCUACAGCAAAGAAUUUUCAUGCUGCCCUCUGAUUUGCUCUUUAGCAAUACUUCUUACUCCUAUUCUGUGUUUCUAAAAAUCUCUUCAGUAUAAAGAAAAAUACAGUUUCAAGAACCAUCUAAUGUCUGCCUCUCACUGCAAGCACUGUCAUUAUUUGCUGAAAGUAUGAAGAUGUACAGAUAAUGUCCCAGCAGCCAUGCUAUUGCACAUGAUGCAUAUGUGAUUGAUGCGCUGAAGGUUACCGUGGACAUGACACGGUGCUGGCAUGAAGUACAUCUUACAUCUCACAUCUACACUUCAGAUCCACAAAGCAAAUAGGCUUCUUGUGGGAAGGAUGAGGAGAAUUAUUAAUGUUAUCCUUGAAAGUCCUUGCAAAAAUUCAUAUAACAAGAUGAUAGAUGCAAAAGGAAUAGAUGCACCAGGAGAGAAAGUGUGCUGUGGGUACAAUCUUGCUCGAACUGCAUGGGACUUGUUUGCACAGUGCUCUGGUUACUGAUGCCCUAGCAGCAGGAAACAAAAAGUAAAUCACAGUCUCAUUAAGCUCAUGCUUAAUGAAUGUGUUUAAGUAUCUUUCUUACUCGAGGAAAAAAGACAAUGUUGCUAUGAUAGGUAAGGUAAGUGGAUGAGGUGGUGGGUGUAGGUGCAGUUUGCAAGACUGGGAAGGCAGAGCACAAGCAGCCAUUCCACUGUACAAAAGCUCAAAUAGGAUUUUAUUGUUAGUUUGCAAAACAGAUUUAAAAGAUCUUUUUUAUUUGAAACAAUAUGUCACAGGUGAUGACUUACCAUUUGAUAAGCCAAUUCCUGUCUACAAAAAGUAGUUAGCCCAGUUAAUUAAGGUCACAUUUCUGAAAGCAGUGCAAAAGAGCACAGAGAUGUUUUUCUAUCUGCUGUAAUGAGCAGAGCUGGCUCUGAUGUGUUCUCUGGCAGCAAAAUGUUUGCUGCAGAUCGGAGACUGCAGGCAGGCCAUGGGGCUGAGAGCCAGGUGCUUUGCGAGAGUAAAAGCUUUGUUGUAAUUCAGGGGGAGGAAUUUGAGGUAAUGUGAUCUUUGUCCAUGUCUAGAAUCAGAGAAUACAAAGUGGGGCAUGGUUUUAAACUGAGCAUUUCCUCAAAUGUAUAGAUACACGAUAAAAUAGCCAUUUUUCAAGCAUUCCUCUCUCAGAUCUCCACCCACUGAUUUCAGCUCUGAUGCUGUUUUUGCAUGUAGCUGCCUCCAGCAACAUUUCAAACACACCUGUGUUACUCUUGUAUGGAUGUCUUCACUCUGACCCAUUAGAAUCACAUGAGGAACACCACAGCACUUUCCAAAUACUUCCUCCUGUAAAUCAGAAGGGAUACUUCAUAAUUAACAUUAUUCUAGCAAAGCUGAAAUCAAUCCAAAGGGAACUGUGCUACAUAGCACAGUGUGCUUAGAAGCAGUUAACAGAAACUUUGCUGAAAGAAAAUGCUUAGAAAAUAAUGAAAGUACUACUCCGUGCACAGACAGGACUUCUGCCUAGCCACAGACAAUAAAUGCAAUGCAGAGAAGAGCAAAGCAGCAUGUAGCCAUUGGAAAUAAGGUCUGCAGGAGUCAGAGACUUACAUGUGCCAAAGAGCAUCAACCUCCUCCAUCCUGGUGGGUGUGUGCUGAAGUACCAUUGUGCAAGGCCACCAUCUGCCAUGCAUUCAAGCAAGGCAUGCAUCUACACUGCUGGGUACUGUUGGUCCUAAUAGCCCAGGGUUCAAAGGUUCUCCAGAAGCUGUCAGAAAAGCAGGCCCAACUUGAAGCUGGGUGGCUCUUCUGGAAUAAAGCACUGCCUCUUUGUAGCUAAUAACAAGCAAAAAAGUCCCAGAUAUAUCCCGAGCAUGGCUUUAGAGCAGAAAACAAACUGGAGUCUCUCCCUUUUGGUGCUGCUGUGCCACUCAGCUUGCUGUGGCACAGACUAACCGUGUCUAAUUGUGCCUGUUCGGUUGGUAGGUGGACCGUUCCUAGCACAGCACAUAACAGGACAUAAAAACCCUGGAACAGUGUCUUUGUAAGUUUAGAUUAUUAAAUUUCCAAGAUACAUUCUUCAAAGGAGGAGGUGAGUGUUUUUCAAACUUCCUGUACUAUGUACAUUUCAGGACAGAUUUUAUAUACAAGUUUUGUUUGUUUCUUUAAUUUAAACAUGUUGAGCUGCAAUGGAAGGAAGCUGUGUAUCAGUGAAUGAAAAAAAAAAAAAAAGAAAAACAAAACAAGAAACCAUCACAACCAUGUAAUCUUGAAGAAUAAUCUGUGUGUCAAAAUAACAUUGCUGAAUGUGAAGGUGAUACAAAAUUCUCUCAGUGGCCAAAAUCGGACUGACCCUAGACCUGACAAAAUGCUGUGACCCCACAGAUCUUUGGAGAAAUAACUGAAAGUAGAAACUGCCUGUAGUCAUUCACAGGGAUUCAGAAUACUUAAAAUAAAGUCUAUGUAUGAUAAAUGUUUUACUGGAGAAGCUAUAAAAAUUCUGAGUCUUUGAGUAUCUUCUGGUGCAGGAAUGAUCAUAUUCCUGUCCAUUUAGAAAAGUACUCUUCAAAAUAAAAGGGAUUGGUGCACUAUUGUUCUGCUUGAAAAUGUCAGCAUGCUAUAGGAAUUCUCAGCAUACACCCGCGCUCAUUACACAGCUGCUCAAAAAGUUUACUCCUUUACUCACAGCAGAGGGUGGUAGGCACUAGAAUUUGUAUUUAAUGGGUACCAUUUGAUUCAGUCUUCAGAUACAAUUUUUUUUUGCAAUGACCUCUCAUUAUCUAAAGUUGGCUCACAGCUGCAGACACAGGGCAAAUGAAAUGAGUCUUAUGUACACAGUAACUGGCUACUUCAGCAUGCUGGCAGAUGAAGAUAGAGCAGCACAUUACAGAGCUGUUCUCUAACUCAUUGCUGCAACACAUCUUUGUGUUUCACGCAUGUUAAAACUUACAAUAUAGAUCAAACUGAAGCAGCUGCUCAUGGGAAAUCUGCACCAUGUAAUGAGAUAUUCAGCUGAUUCAAUUCAAAAAUACAAUGUUGAGCUAAGAGAAGAAAGUAAUUUUUUUAUGCUACCUCUGCUUAAAGCAAGUUUAUAGUUCAUCUGUGUUUAAAUAAACAGCUAAAUUACUAAAAAUGAGAAGAUUUAAAAACCUUUAAGUGGUCUCAUGUUCUAACUCCUUGGCACUACUUUGAUCCUAUUAAGCCAACAUCCCUCACAAUUUUCUUACAUAUCUACUCCUGUGGGCAGCCUGGUCUAGUAUUAAAUAUGGAGGUUGGUGGCCCUGCCUGUGGCAGGGGGGUUGGAACUUGGUGAUCCUCGAGGUCCUUUCCAACUCAAGCCAUUCUAUGAUUCUAUGAUCCUCUGCCUCCAUCUCUCUCAGUUCACUUACCUGUGCUUAGCUCUGGUUUCACUGGGAUGUUGUUUGUCUGCAUUUGCAGUGCUGUGGUAUUUGACUUUCAGCUAAAACACUAGAACUAAAUGAACAUUAGCAGUCUUUUCAUGCUGAGUGCCUGCAGCCAACAAGCCAGUUCCUUGCAGGGGACUGUGCUCAAUUCCCUGACCCUGGCUCUUGAGACUCCAAAAAUCCUGCAUCUUUCCUCCUAAGCAAAGUCCUCAAAACUCAGCCCUGGUUGAGUUCAUGAUCUUGAGGGAUGUGGGCUUGGCGAAGAGUGGCGUCAGGACC